rnacentral:rRNA from 1 species
CCUACGGGUGGCAGCAGUGGGGGAUAUUGGACAAUGGGCGGAACCCUGAUCCAGCGACGUCGCGUGAGUGAAGAAGUAUUUCGGUAUGUAAAGCUCUGUCAGCAGGGAAGAAAGAAAUGACGGUACCUGACCAAGAAGCCUCGGCUAACUACGUGCCAGCAGCCGCGGUAAUACGUAGGGGGCAAGCGUUAUCCGGAAUUACUGGGUGUAAAGGGAGCGUAGACGGGUAAGUAAGUCUGGAGUGAAAGUUCGCGGCUCAACCGCGGGACUGCAAUGGAAACUAUUGGACUUGAGUGCAGGAGAGGUAAGCGGAAUUCGUAGUGUAGCGGUGAAAUGCGUAGAUAUUAGGAGGAACACCAGUUGCGAAGGCGGCUUACUGGACUGCAACUGACGUUGAGGCUCGAAAGCGUGGGGAGCAAACAGGAUUAGAUACCCCUGUAGUC